CCUACGGGAGGCAGCAGUGGGGGAUAUUGCACAAUGGGGGAAACCCUGAUGCAGCGACGCCGCGUGAGUGAAGAAGGAUUUCGGUGUGUAAAGCUCUAUUUGCAGGGAAGAAAAUGACUGUACCUGACCAAGAAGCUCCGGCUAACUACGUGCCAGCAGCGGCGGUAAUACGUAGGGGGCAAGCGUUAUCCGGAUUUACUGGGUGUAAAGGGAGCGUAGUCGGAUUUGCAAGUCAGGAGUGAAAGUCCGGGGCCCAACCCGGGGACUGCAGUGGAAACUGUCAGGCUGGAGUACAGGAGGGGCGGGCGGAAUUCGUGGUGUAGCGGUGAAAUGCGUAGAUAUCAGGAAGAACACCGACGGCGAAGGCAGCCUGCUGGACUGAAACUGACGUUGAGGCUCGAAAGCGUGGGGAGCAAACAGGAUUAGAUACCCUAGUAGUC
rnacentral:rRNA from 1 species